GCCCUUGUAGCUCAGCUUGGUAGAGCGUGAGACUUUUAAUCUUAAGGUCCGGGGUUCGAGCCCCCGUAAGGGCU